AAAUACACAAAAACCCAAGUCCCAGUUCGGAUUGCAGUCUGCAACUCGCCUGCAUGAAGUCGGAAUUGCUAGUAAUCGCAGAUCAGCAUGCUGCGGUGAAUACGUUCCCGGGCCUUGUACACACCGCCCGUCACACCAUGGGAGUCGGUAACACCCGAAGUCGGUAGUCUAAACCGAAAGGAGGACGCCGCCGAAGGUGGGAUUGAUGACUGGGGGUGAAGUCGUAACAAGGUAUC
rnacentral:rRNA from 1 species